CUUUCUUGUUUUUAUAAUGAUAAAUUUACAUUGCCAACAAUGUAACUCAUUACAUUCCUGUUUAUUUUGCUCUGGUUGCCUGGAAGCUCAGAGCAAAAUGUAAUGGUUAAAUGUAGCAUUUGACAUUGUAGUUAGUACAAAUGCAUUUUCCCUUUCUCUGAAUUUUAUAUUUAUAUCUUAUUAGGUUGUUUUUGUUUGUAUGCCCAUUGUCUUAGUCUGUUUUGUGUUGCUAUGACAGAAUACCUGAGACUGGGUAAUUUAUAAAGAGAAGAGCCCUAUUUAGCUCACGGUUAUGAGGAUGGAAAGUUCAAGGGCAUGGCCCUGGCUUCUGCCACUAUGCAAGAAAUGCCUUUUGCCCUCUGCCAUGAUUGUGAGACCUCUCCAGCCAUGUGGAACUUUGCCCAGUGAAGAAGGUGCCUUGUUUCCACUUUGCUUUCUAUCAUGAUUCUAAGUUCCGGAGGCUCCCCCAGCCAUGCUGAAC
rnacentral:lncRNA from 13 species